UACAGAGGGUGCGAGCGUUAAUCGGAAUUACUGGGCGUAAAGCGCGCGUUAGGCGGCUUUUCAAGUCGAUUGUGAAAUCCCCGGGCUUAACCUGGGAACUGCAGUCGAGACUGUCUAGCUAGAGUAUGGGAGAGGGAAGGUGGAAUUUCAGGUGUAGCGGUGAAAUGCGUAGAUAUCUGGAGGAACACCGGUGGCGAAGGCGGCAUCCUGGACCAACACUGACACUGAGGAGCGAAAGCCAGGGGAGACAAACGGGAGUUAG
rnacentral:rRNA from 1 species